rnacentral:rRNA from 1 species
AGAACGAACGCUGGCGGCAGGCUUAACACAUGCAAGUCGAACGGGCCCUUCGGGGUCAGUGGCAGACGGGUGAGUAACACGUGGGAACGUACCUUUCAGUUCGGAAUAACCCAGGGAAACUUGGGCUAAGACCGGAUACGCCCUUUUGGGGAAAGAUUUAUCGCUGAGAGAUCGGCCCGCGUCUGAUUAGCUAGUUGGUGAGGUAAAGGCUCACCAAGGCGACGAUCAGUAGCUGGUCUGAGAGGAUGAUCAGCCACAUUGGGACUGAGACACGGCCCAAACUCCUACGGGAGGCAG